rnacentral:piRNA from 1 species
UAGGCGAGUAGCAGGAAGAAAAGAUGCCCCA